CAAUAGCGUAUAUUAAAGUUGUUGCAGUUAAAAAGCUCGUAGUUGGAUUUCUGGUAGGAGCGACCGUGCCGAACUUGAUUGUUCGAGUAUUGUGUUGUCUUCAGCCAUCCUCGUGGAGAACUUUUCUAACAUUAACUUGUUGGGAUUGGGACCCGCGUCGUUUACUGUGAAAAAAUUAGAGUGUUUAAAGCAGGCAUUAGCUUGAAUACAUUAGCAUGGAAUAAUAAGAUAGGACUUUGGUACUAUUUUGCUGGUUUGCAUACCAAAUUAAUGAUCAACAGGAACAGUUUGAGGAUAUUCGUAUGAACAUGUCAGAGGUGAAAUUCUUGGAUUUUGAUCAGACGAACUACUGCGAAAGCAUUUAUCAAGGAUGUUUUCAUUAA
rnacentral:rRNA from 1 species